rnacentral:lncRNA from 1 species
UUUUUUUUUUUUUUUUUUUUUUUUUUUUUUGUCUUUUAGGGGCCACACCCAUGGCAUAUGAACGUUCCCAGGCUAGGGGUUGAAUUGGAGCUAUAGCUGCUGGCCUACAGCCACAGCAAUGCCAGAUCUGAGCUGCAAUCUACACCACAGCUCUUGACAACACUGGAUCCUUAAUUCACUGGGGAAGGUCAGGGAUCAAACCUGUGUCCUCAUGGAUGCCAGUCAGAUUCAUUUCCACUGAGCCACGAUGGGAACUCCGAUAGGACUCUGAUUCUUAAUAUACAAAUUUAUUUUUUUUUGUUUUUUGUCUUUUUGCCUUUUCUAAGGGCCACUCCCAUGGCAUAUGGAGUUGCCCAAGAAAUGGCAAAAAGACAAAAAGACAAAAAAAAAAAUGGUUCAAUACCUGGCCCAAUAUAACUUCCACAUGCUGCAAAUGUGGCAAAAAAGCCCAAAAGCCAAAAAAUAAAAACCCCAAACAACAAAGAAAACAUUUUUAUCAGAUAUGGUAUAUUAACCUAAUUUCCCCCGUUAGUAACAGAGUUUUAGAAAACAAUAGAGACAGUCCCAUUAAUCCCAAAAAAAUAAAAUAAACAUAUAUACUUUCAAGAAAGGUCAAUUACAGUAAAAACUAUCACAUAAAUGUAUUUCUAGUAGCAGAGAGAAACAAGGCUGGCUUUCUGCAAAAUUUUUUGGUAACAGAAUUAUUUCUGGAUGUCCAUUAUGAACCUCUAAGAGAGGAUUAAAGCUUGUUAGUCUGCCAGUAAUUCUAAAAAUAUGUUUUGGGAAAUAAAAUAUUUGGGGGAUAAAAUAUUCUAUUUAGAAAUUAGGUCUGAUUUCAUUAUUUAUUAUACAUAUUGAUUAACAUGUAAUCAAUAAUUUAAUGUUCUUAAAAUAUUUAUCUCUGAAUACAUUAUAGCCAUUAUCUUAUAGCCAAAGGCAGAUUAUAAGGUAUGUUGUAGGAGAUAUACAUUUAUACACUCUAAUUGGAUUUUGGUCAUAUUUCUUUUAUUAGAGCAAAUAAUUUGCCAUAGUAAACAUAUUCUGACAUCAUUAAAGUUAUUAAUAAGACUUGAGCCUUACUAUAUCAACAAUGAUAAAUUGCAAAAAUUAUUUGAAUUUCAUCUGUUUUCCAUUAAUAGGUAAUUACUAUUUCUAAAUACUGAUACCAUAAUCAAGGCAGAGUUCUCUUUUAGGCUAAGCCAUUAUCAUCAUUUUACAUAAGCAGAACCUGAUACAUACAUUUGCUUAUUUGUCUUCCUGAUGUGAACAAUGACCCGUGUUCGAUCUUUAGCAAAUAUAUCUUCUUAUUUUUGCCGAAAAUUAAAUGUGAGAGAACUUGACAAGUAGAUAAUGUUGCCAGCUUAUUCAAUUAAACAUCAGUCUUCUCCUCAAAGACAAGUGAAGGGAGUUCCCGUCAUGGCUCAGCAGAAACGAAUCUGACUAGUAUCCAUGAGGAUACAGGUUUGAUCCCUGGCCUCGCUCCGCGGGUUAAGGAUCCGGUGUUGCCUUGAGCUGUGGUGUAGGUCGCAGACACAGCUCAGAUCUGGUGUUGCUGUGGCUGUGGUGAAGGCUGGCAGCUACAGCUCUAAUUCAACCCCUAGACUGGGAAUCUUCAUGUGCUGCAGGAGCAGCCCUCAAAUGACAAAAACAAACAAACAAAAUAAACCAAGUGAAGAUCUUUCAAAGGUAGUAUACAAGAAGGCUUUGCCUUACUAUUUCAUUUCCCUAAGAAGAUCGUAUAGUGUAAAACUUUGCACAGUAUUAAAUGAUCCAUCUUCAGCUUCUGAUUCCAUUGACAAAAUUAUAACUGCACUAUAGGAAUAAUUCUUACAACACAGUUUUCUUUAAAGUUACUCCUGCAGUGGCACUUCUUGAACUAGAAGAUGUAGGCAUGGACUUUUGAAAGACUUAUUUUUAAAUGUAAAUAUUGUAAGAUUACAAUUCUU